ACUGAUGGCAAGGCGGAGAUCACACAGCAAUAGACCGGCAAAUAACGCCACCGGAGCCUUAAAUUCAGCGACGGCGAUGCUGGAGGUGAUGGUGGACGACACACUGCCGCAAUCAGAGCCUGAGUUGUCCACCAUUGGGGACGAGGACCUGAUGUCUCCACUCCACUGCAGCUCUCCUGCACCACCCAGCAGCUCAGGACAAUCGCAGCAGACCAGACCUGGGAAGUUGUUGUGCUGAGUAUCCAGUAGUCUGUCUCACCGGAUACUAUGCAAACAUGGCUAAGAGGAAGCGAGACAGCAACACUGAGCUCCUGGACUACCUCGAGCGGGCGGACGAGAGGUUCCUGCAGCACAGCAAGGAAAUGAACGAUGCCUUGCUGCACAAGCUGGAGGCAGACAACAGUG